UUUUUUGUGUAUCUUUGUCAGGUUUUGGUAUUAGUGAUAUUAAUAUUAUACUCAUGUCAUAAUUAAAAAUUUUUCCUUUUUGCAUGCCUCAGGACAGUGUAAACAGUAUAAGGAUUAUCUCUGUUUUAUAAAGGUUUGGUGUAAUUCUUCCAUGAAACUGCCAUGGCCUGGCAUUCUGAAGUAGUUUAUUCUUUGUAUAGCUUUCUCUAUUUCUUCUCGGUCUGUUAAGACUUUCUUUUAUUGUGUCAACAUGGGUAAGUCAUAUUUUUUAAGGAAAUUAUCCACCUUAUUGAGGUUCUAAAUGUAAAGAAUUCUGCAAAUUAACUUAUUAUGUGCUUUUGGGAUAAGUUGCUACACAUGUGUUUUGCAUCUAUGUUCACAUCUUCAUUUUUUAUAGAUUUAGGAACAAUUAAUUCUAGUUUCUCUUUUUAAAAAGUCUAACUAGAAAAUGGAAUGCUGUAAUGUGUAUUCAAAUAACUCCUUUUGUUCUCUAUCCAACCAGUGCAUUAUUUUUACUAGGUAAAAAACUCUGAUUCUGUCCCCAUUUCUUUGUAAAGUAUUAGUCUUGCAGCUGUCACAGGAACUUUGUAUCAACACAAACACAGGCUGUUACUUAUCAUCUUUUUGGAAAUGUCAUCUAGUGGAUUAAUGAGUCUCUGGUCUGGAUUGAUAGUUUGUGUCUUAUUUCAAGCCCUUUUCUAUCUGGUGUGCAUCUUGAGGAUAAACUGGAACAAAGUUGCUGAGCAGGCACAGGUUCCAGCUGGGCUAAAAGGGAAUAAAGAGACCAUGCCUACCUCCUCAGAUCUACCUAUCCUGGGAAAAGAAGUAACUGGUGGAAUCAUUUUGCCUGAUAUCAUCAGACCAGAGAGCCAGACCCUUCAACUGAGGGACUGGAAGAAAACACCCAGUAUGUCGUGUCUACCAUUAGAGAGGUCCUGACAGUGAGGCAGCUGAUAUUCUACUGUGGGAUGGAUUUAGCUCUCGCUGUUGCAGUCCUUUUAGCAGGAAUUUUCUUCAAGAGUUUUCAAUGACCACAGCUAACAUGGAAGAAUUACCACCAUUCUACAAACUAGACGUGAUAAUUAUAUGCCAUAUAUUAAGUAUGAAAGGUGAUCUUGUUAUUUGGACAGUUUUAACUGUGGAUGUAAAGAACAUUGGGGAUGUUUACUUGGUUAUUCCGAGAAAUUGCACUAUCCUUUUGGAGAUCAAGAAAGGAGCUAUAAUUUUAAGUAAACUUUUCCUCUGUUAAUUUUAUCAUGGUUUCUAAAUAUACAAAUUAGAUUUUCUUUGAUGUAAAGGUUAUUUACCCUUUCUUAUUUCACACAUCUUUCUUCUCCUGAGAAGUGGUUCAUAGUCCUAUAAAAUAUUAUUGCUGAUGAGUUUUCUUUGUAUUUUUCUGUGAAUGUACUUAAUCUUGUCAGUGAUUGUAUAUUAAGUGCCUGUUCAAGUCCUAUCUCAGGUAUUGCCAUAUAAGCUUUUAUAAAACGGAACAUCUUAAAAUUUACAAUAUAUGUUGACAAUAUUUGGAGCUAUACAGUCAAUAUAAAAGAUUAGCUUUUA